ACCUUUUGUAGACCCAGGGAUAUCUUUCCAGGGGUCUAUGUUGCUUCUUCAUUUACCCCAAUGUAUGUCAAUAGAAUGUUGUGCCCAUGAUAAAAAUCUAUACAACUUUCAGCAACGGAUCUCUUGGCUCUCGCAUCGAUGAAGAACGCAGCGAAAUGCGAUAAGUAAUGUGAAUUGCAGAAUUCAGUGAAUCAUCGAAUCUUUGAACGCACCUUGCGCUCCUUGGUAUUCCGAGGAGCAUGCCUGUUUGAGUGUCAUUAAUAUUAUAUAUCAAACCCUCUUUCUCUGAGUGGUUUGGAUGUGGGGGUGCUGGCCUCUUGAAGGGGUC
rnacentral:misc_RNA from 1 species